AUAUCUAUCCUGAUUGUGUCUAGGGAGCAUAUGACGUAGAGUAAGCAGGUUUUGCAUAAAGAGGUUAACCGUCUACAUGAGGAGGAUAACUGUCUUAGAGUAGAGAGGGAUGAGCAAAAGGAGCUUGUCGAUAUGUGGCUUGAGGGAUUCCAAGAGAUGACUACCCUGCUUGAGGAAUGUGAUGCUACCUACCAAGCUAUAGUGGUGAAGUAUAAAUAGAGGAGGCAGCGUGUUUUUAACUAGAUAGAUAACCACCUGCUGAUUUCAUCUCAGAUGCCGGGAUAGGCUCAGUUAUGGCCCUAUAGUGAUGCUGAGUCUGGUAGCGAGCCAAAGUUUGAUCCUAAGGAAGAGCCACUAAAAGAUGUACCUAUAGAUGGUAAUCCCGAUGAGGAGGGAGUUGAUAGACAAGAUGGUGUCGGAGAAGACGAUUUAGAAGAUGGAGAUGUUGAUGACAGUGCAGGCCUCCGGGCGAUGAUCAGCAGAGACAGCCUUAAUAAAGUUUUAUUUGUUAUUUGAUAGAUGUUAUUUGGAACAAUUAGUGCUUAGGAUUUUAUGAUGCUUUGUUCCAUUUAUUUCCACUUAAGGAUUAUUAGCAUAUGAUUAGGAAUUAGACAAAUGUUAGGUUUGGUAGUUAAUCUUAGAUAGAUUAGGAUUUUGAAUUUCAGUAUGUAUGAGAACUCUAUGGAAUUUCUAGAUAUCUAAAUUAUCAUUAGUA
rnacentral:lncRNA from 1 species